AUCAAGAAUCAAAGUAACAUUAAUGCUGAAUUCACACAUGCAGAAGACUUCAAAACUUUUGAGUUUUUAGGUUUAGCUGCUGGAGAUUUAUGCAGAUCUUUUUUUAUAACCUCUUGACUUACUUUACUAACCUCUGCCCCUCCUCUGCAUUCAGCAAUCAUGAGGAAGUUGCACAACAACUAAAAAAGGAAAGGCUGAAGCAACCCUGGACAGUAAGGAGUAAAAUGAUGAAUUUCUGGGUGAAUAAACUUGGCUCACAAAUUUCACGUACCAACUUAACAUCGACUACUCAACUAGAUUUGAUACUGAAAGGACGUCUUAUCACUUUUAAUCACAGAAAGAGGAUCCAGUUUUAUGAGACAGCCGUCCAGAGAGCUUCUUUUUCCAUGUUGUGUAUACCAGAACAGCCUCCUGAUGGCACAUUUUUAUACUUUAUUGACUCAUAAGGGCAUCAAGAGGGCACACAGUCAUGUUGAAUCCUUCAGAGGAGCAGAUACUAAAGCAGGAAGGGCAUUUAAGAUUUUUCAUCUAUGUGAAGAGGCACUUCUGUGGUGAGUUUUCAAACAUCAGGGCACCAACCAACAUUAUUAUGAGACAAAAUCAUCCGAGUUUUAAG